UUCCUUCCAAUUCCUUCUGCUUGUUUUCCAGCAAAUUGUUCUCAUUCUCUAAGCAAGUUACCUGUAUUAAUUUGUGAUCUGUAACUUCCAUUCUAGAUGAUACAAAUUAAUAAACAUCUAGGUGAGCAGAGGCAAACCCAGGAUAUGAACUUCAUGGGUUCGAGUUUGAAACUGUACCACAGCCUAUUUGAUUUACUUAGCUAACUUCCAUUCUGAAUGAUACAAAUUGAUAAACAUCUAGGUGAGCAGAGGUAAACCCAGGAUAUGAACUUCAUGGGUUCGAGUUCGAACUGUACCACAGCCUAUUUGAUUUACUUCGUCCGAAAUCUAUUAUUUGUACUUAUUUAGUGGAUCUUUCAACAAAAAUACAGACUCUGAGUCAAAGGUGAUAGGUUGAGCCCUUUACUUCAACACUACAUCUGCCCAUGUAGGUGAGAGGCGGAUCUUAAAUUUAGAACAGUUAAAUGCUCCUCUCAAUAUAUAUACACAGUUACACACAUAAAUAGCUCUAAAUUAAUAUAUACCAUACACAGACCGAUUUUUAAAAUGCUUUUUUUAUGAAAGUGAGGUGUAUGCAUGUUCGCGUGCACCUUGACUAUUCCACUAGAUACCUACUACCUCCCACUGGCAUAGGUACUAGAUAACUCUAUCCACCAAGGAAAUCAUAUAGUGUUCAACUGGAAUUUCAAUGUGAAACCUCAUGAUCUUCCUUCCAUUUCAAAGACCACUAGACCACACAUACAUAAUUUGAGUUUUGAGAUAACAAGUGCACGUGAACCCUAUGCUUAUAUGCUGGAUCAGCCUCUGCAUUCGUGUAGU
rnacentral:lncRNA from 1 species